AGUCUGCAUAGGGGAGGAAAUCAUGAGAGAUCCUGACCCUGGCCUAACCAGGAGGGGUGGAGGGCAGGAAUGGCCUGAAGAGGGGGAUAUUUUAUCAGUGACAUUGAUUAGCAUUACAAGUGCAUGGUAAUAACAAAAAGUACGCCCACUUUUAAUUGUUUUUAUUACUGUUUUUAAACUACGCAAACACUACACCCCUCAUCUCCUGCACCCCAGGAAGACUGUUCCCAUUGCCCUACAGUACACCACUGGACUUACAAGCGAGUCUUCUGCUCAAUGUGGAGAAAGAAAAUAUUAAAUUAAGGAAGGUAGAGGAACCUCAGUAUCUCUGAUCUAUCUAUCAACUAUCUAAAUGUUCUUUCAACAAACAUUUGUUGAGUACCAACUAUGAGCCAGUGCUGUGUAAAGUUCAACAAAACAAGGUGGUGAAGGCAUAGCUGCUGGGCUCUGUACCUGGUUAUAGACCCAGACCCAGUAGGGGCAAUGACACUGAAUGGUAAAGACUUCCCUACAGAUGAGAGUCAAGUGCUUGGUGGAUGUUAUAGAUGUGCUGAGUUCUUCUAUUGUAGAAUACCAGGGGAAGUCAAUCCCAAGAGGUGAUGUGUUAGGUGGGCUCUGAAAGUCACAUAAGAUAUUGCUGGGAAGCAAGAGGAGGAAAAUGUUUUGAGUGAGGCACAGAGAUGUGAAAAGGGAUGGCCUGUUUGGGAAUGCAGGCUAGUGUGUCUAGCACCCCUGUCGCUUGAACUGCAGCCCAACAUACAGAAGAGCGGGGAAAGAGGACAGUAAAGGUUAAGUUGAGCCAGGCAUGCAACAGGCCUUGAAUGCCACAUUGAAAAUAAAACCCAAGAAACAAAAAAAGCAAAAUUACCUUCUACCAAUGGGCAGCCACCAAGGUGUGGAAGUGGGGAAUGACACCAGGAGCCUUUUACUUUUUGAAAACUCCCCUGCUGGCUGUGAAGAUCACAGCCAACAUGGCUGACCUUAACUCUGUGCAAAUGUCAGCGAGCAAGGAAAGUGGAGCUCCCUAUAGCAUGCACCUGCUCUCUGCACCAAUGUUUCCAUCCCUUUAUUUGCUGCCAGUUUUCUGAACCUCAAAAACCCAUUCAUGUUUAUUAAUGACUACCUAUAGUACAUCACAAGUGUGACAUUUAAAACUUAAAGUUGUUUGAAUUAUGAGAUUGCCAAGAAAGUAAAAAUUCCUCUACAUUUGAAACCCUUUCAGUUCUACCAGCCCCCAUAGCUAUGGAAAAAGAGCUUAAGAGUUUUCAAACUCCACAGAAUUUUGUUUAUAGAAGGACCAACUGUGAAGUAUUUCAAACACUAGUUAUUAUUGUGUUGUUUUGAAAGCUGUGAAUGUGUCAAAGUCUUCAGUAGGGAAGGUCCAUUAUCUCUUAUGCAAUGAUAAUAAAAUACAUAACAUGAUAUAAUUAUACAUAUAUUAAAAUGAUGCAUGUGCAGGCACAGAGUCCAGAACAGAGCAAAAUGGGAAAAGGAAUUAUUGUUGUGUGCUCCGAAGAACAUUGGCUUUAGUGUGAGACAGUCCUGGGCUCAAACACCAGCCUCCAUUUCCUUCUAAGGAAUCAUUGCUAAGCUUCAAGGAAACAGAAUACACCAAAGACAUUAAUUCUGUCCAAGCAAGGUCACACUGACAUUUAAUCCAAAUGGAUAGUGAUAUUGAGCCCUCUUAGCUUGAUUGCAGGGUGUCCUUCCUCUCAUCGGCAUCUUCUGAUUCUUUCUUCCACUUGCAAAAAGAUAAUACCAUGUGCCUACAAUUAGUUUACUCAUUGCCCUUGUCCUGUGGGUUAUGUCAAUCAGGUAAAGCUUUGGCUGUGUUACAACAGCAGCACCCCUAAAUCCCAAAGGGUUUACACACAAAAGUGUGUUUCCGGCUCACACAAAAUCAACUUAGAAUCCAGGUGACCUUGGCACAAUUAUCCCUCAUGCCACUUGCCCCCACUGCCUCCAAGUCUGAGGAGGAAGGGGGCUGGGAUAUGGACACUGGCUCUGCCCCAUUUGGAGCUACUUUUUCACUGGACCCUGCAAAAGUCUUUCUCUACCCAGAACUUCACAAUAUCUCUCAUGAAAUCAGAGUCUUCAGCUUCGCUUUCAUUUGUGUUUUCUCCUGUAUGUAAAUAUCAGUAAAUGAACUUUCAAAAACCCUCUCCAGCUGGGUGUGAUAGUGUGUGCCUGUGGUUCCAGCUACUCAGGAGGCUGAAGUAGGAGGAUUGUUUGAGCCCAGGAGUUUGAGGCUGCAGUGAAAUACAAUCAUACCACUGUGCUAUAGCCUGGGUGACAAAGCUAGACCCUGUCUCAAAGAAAAAGAUUAUCCAUUUUUACAAUGAUAAGGUAUAGACCACAGAACACAUUCUAAAUCAAUUUCACAAGUUUUUGCCAGGCCCCAGCUGUAGGCCAAGACAAGGUUAACUCACUGACUUAGCAACUCCUACCACUGAAACGAGUGGCAAGUGUAGCAUGGAAAAUGAAAAAUGGAAAAUAGGUUUCCAUGACCAAACCCAUCACUGAAUUCCUCUAUGACAUCUCAAGAAAUGAGAUUUGUAAAUAAUGAACAGAGGAAAAGGUGGCUGCAAAGGAGUCCUCAAGUUUCAUCAUGUAAGGAGCAUAAUAAAAUGUCUACAGCUUUUUAGAGGAUAUCUUUCUGGCUUCUACCCAAGACAACUUCAAAAUUUCAAGGUACUAAUUUCAUCCAGAAAUUAUUUACUUAAAAUCUUGGUACAUUAGAGAGAGAGAGAGGAAAAAGAAGACAGGAAGGAGGGAGGAGAAGGGAAGGGAGGGGAAGGGAAGGGAAGGGAAGGGAAGGGAAGGGAAGGGAAGGGAAUGGAAGGGAAGGAGGCAGGGAGGGAAGGAGGGAGGGAGGGAAGGAAGGAAGGAAGCAAAGAAGGAAGAAAAUUUCCCUUUUUCUUAAACUUUCUUCUUUCAUACCUAGGAGAAAUUAUCAUGUUUUGGAAUUUUUCAGAAAUUUAAAGAUAAUCUAGUUCUAUGACCCUUUUCAGAGAAGGAAAUCUGUAGCUCAGGAAGGUGAGGCCCACCGUCACUCAUCACAGGGUCAGCAAAUGAAUGAACUAAACCUUUGUGCAGCACUUUCCACAAACUCUGUUGUGCUGUCUAGCUAAACAACAGCUUAGAUGAGAGGAAGACCUUGCGGGGUAAUUAUCUCUCCCAGAUCCUAGCCAAAGAAUGCAGCCUUCUGUUUGUACCAAGGCACUUGGUUUCUGUGUUUCUGUGCUGAAAGAACAGUGCCUGUUUGAGUCCUUGGCCAUUGGCCAGAGAAGCUGGGCUCUGGAAGCAGUUCAGGGAGACUGCAGUGAAUGGGAGGAAGGCUCCCAGCUGAGAGGAGGCUCUUGGCUGUCCACUGAGGAGAGGCUAGGAAUCCUUCACAAUGAACGAUUGAGAAAUCCUCCAGGAAGGUAAACAACUUCAAGUGUGCAAUUGGUGGCCAAGGAUGAAAUACUGAUGUAAGCAAAAGGCCAACUAAGUGUCCGCCUGGUUACUCAUUUUUUCUCUUCUUCUUUUCCACUCCCUCCCUCCUCUUCCCCUUCCUGCUCCUUCUCCUCCUCCUCCACCUCCUCCUGCUGCUGCUUCUCCUCUUCUUCCUUUUUUCAUAAACCACUAAAAUGAUUUAUUUUUUUCAGGUAUCUAAACCCUAGAUGUUUAAAAUCUCCAACAUCUAUUUUAGAUGGAGUGUGGGGUGAUGCACACAGCCUAGAGAAACUCCUUAUGUAACUGAGGUGUUUGCCAACCCUUCACUAUUUCUUCUCAUUACUGGUCUGUAACUCAGGGCUCUUCUGCACAGAUAUAGUAGGUAAAUUGCAGAGUUGGUGGUCAAAUAGACCUGGAUUAGAAUUCUGACUCCAUUUCCAUCUAACUGUGUGUCCUUGAGGAAGCUGUUUAAUGUCUCUGAUUUUCACUUUCCACACUAAGAAACAGCACAGACCCUGCAGAAUCAUAAGGAGGAAAUCUCAGAUGCAUUCCAUUACCCAGCUCUCUCCGUGUUAAAGAGCUUCAAGGUUUGCUCCUCUUUUCUUCCCUGGUGACAAUUUUCAUGUGCCGGGUAAAAAUAUUACUCACUCAUUUGUUUAUUCACUAAGUGUUGACUUUAUGGGAUAGUCACUGUUCUAGGUUCUGAGUUUUCAGGAAUGAAUCGAAGACACAGAGUCCCUACUCUCAUGGAGACAGGCUCCUGGUAGUGAAGGCUAUGUGUCAGGCCUCUGAGCCCAAGCCAAGCCAUCGCAUCCCCUGUCACUUGCACGUAUACAUCCAGAUGUCCUGAAGUAACUGAAGAUCCACAAAAGAAGUAAAAAUAGCCUUAACUGAUGACAUUCCACCGUUGUGAUUUGUUCCUGCCCCACCCUAACUGAUCAAUGUAUUUUGUAAUCUCCCCCACCCUUAAGAAGGUACUUUGUAAUCUCCCCCACCCUUAAGAAGGUUCUUUGUAAUUCUCCCCACCCUUGAGAAUGUACUUUGUGAGAUCCACCCCUGCCCGCAAAACAUUGCUCUUAACUUCACCGCCUAUCCCAAAACCUAUAAGAACUAAUGAUAAUCCACCACCCUUUGCUGACUCUCUUUUCGGACUCAGCCCCCCUGCACCCAGGUGAAAUAAACAGCUUUAUUGCUCACACAAA